UUUGUGUGACAUCCAGCUCCGUUCCUGAGUUGCUAGAGACUGUCUGGAGCUUUGCUUGACGCCAGCUCCUGGGCCCCUUGCCAGCAGCUGUGUGUGCAUGUUGUGAACUCCUCCGGCCACGCCGUUCAGCGUGCCUCCAAGCUGCCUCAGCCCCUCUGGGGAGGCCGCUUGCUGGCUCACCAUGCCCACUGCUUGCCCUGGGCUCCCCACUCCUGUUCCACCCAGGCAUGGAAGUUCAACCCACUCCUUCUGUCCUGCAAAGAGAAGGGCCCCUUGUUCCAGAGACAGAAACAGCAGAAAGGCACUAAGCAAUGCACAACAGAAGUGUCUAGUUUGAUGGAGACCCUUCCACAAGAGAAUUGAAAACAUUAGACUGAUGUGGAAGAGAAAGAAGAGGGAAUGUGGUGCCAGAUCUACCGAUUAUAAGGAAACCUAACCUAUGAUGUUUACAGUCACUAUCUCUAAAUGGAACCGGGAAUGAACCUGAAGAGCAAGACACUUAAAAAGGUAAAAAGUUAAAUAGCUGUCGAUGGCAAAUGAGCUUGUGAAAGGCCCUUGCCAAAGGCACUGCUGAGGCCAGGUGCUUAGGAGGAUUCGGAGCAGGACCAGGCUUUGAUUCUGAGUAACGGGAACAGCCAAAAUUACAUGAGAUAGGUUUAAAAAUAAGCUAAAACAAGGAGGUCACGUUCUCUUGCACAGCGUGCCGAAAAGUCAGUCACCAGAGAGACAUUUCUGCAGGGCGAAGGUUUAAUUUGGGGCUCCACGGUUUCCACAGCUUUACUCAAAGUGGGUGCACCCAAGGGAGGCAAGAUGCUGACAAGGGACCAUUUCAUGAGCAGUGAUGCUGAUUCCCACAUCCACCAGCUCUUCUGAGAGCCACUUGGCAGCCAUCGUUUCCUGCUCCUGUGCCUGUCUGUGCUCAUACUCACCUAACAUGCAGAAGAUUAGGUCUGACCAGGGCCCACAAAAUCAGCAAUCAUUCCCCAAAACAGCCAGGCUCCCCCUCAGGCUCCCUCCUUGGGAGCACAGUCCCGCCAAGGUGGGAAGCAGCAACUUCCCUUGUUUUGUUUUCCAGCAGCCUCUCUGCCAGGCGAUCAGAAAUAAAAGCUGCCACACACACGCCUUGGUUUCCUUUCAUACUUUGUAAAGUUUUUUAUUAUCUCCUCCUUUUAAG